rnacentral:rRNA from 1 species
GACGAACGCUGGCGGCGUGCCUAAUACAUGCAAGUAGAACGCUGAAGAGAGGAGCUUGCUCUUCUUGGAUGAGUUGCGAACGGGUGAGUAACGCGUAGGUAACCUGCCUUGUAGCGGGGGAUAACUAUUGGAAACGAUAGCUAAUACCGCAUAACAAUGGAUGACACAUGUCAUUUAUUUGAAAGGGGCAAUUGCUCCACUACAAGAUGGACCUGCGUUGUAUUAGCUAGUAGGUGAGGUAAUGGCUCACCUAGGCGACGAUACAUAGCCGACCUGAGAGGGUGAACGGCCACACUGGGACUGAGACACGGCCCAGACUCCUACGGGAGGCAGCAGUAGGGAAUCUUCGGCAAUGGGGGCAACCCUGACCGAGCAACGCCGCGUGAGUGAAGAAGGUUUUCGGAUCGUAAAGCUCUGUUGUAAGUCAAGAACGGGUGUGAGAGUGGAAAGUUCGCACUGUGACGGUAGCUUACCAGAAAGGGACGGCUAACUACGUG